CAGGAGACGAGGUGGCCAAGGUGGUCACUCCUUGUCCUGGGCCCCUCCCCUCAGGGGUCACUCCUUGUUCUUGGUUCCAGGGUGGUCACUGUUUGUCCUUGGCCCUGGGGUGGUCACUUCCCAUCCUGGCCCCUGUGUGAUGAUCACUCCUUGUCAUCAGGUCCAGACCCCCCAGUGCCCUGGGGUGGUCAUUUCCCAUCCUGGCCCGUGUGAUGGUCACCCCUUUACAUCUAGGUCCAUGCCCAGCCAGCCCCCCAUGACGGUCACUCCUUGUCAUCACCCAGGUCCAGGCCGGCCACCCCCAUGAUGGUCACUCCUUAUCAUCUAGGUCCAGGCUGGCCAGCCCCAUGAUGGUCACUCCUUGGCAUCGCCCAGGUCCAGGCCGGCCAGGUCCAUGAUGGUCACUCCUUGCCAUCGUUCAGGUCAAGGCCGGCCAGCCCCGUGAUUGUCACUCCUUGUCAUCGCCCAGGUCCAGGCCGGCCAGCUCCCUCAGCCCCCGCAGGCGGCCGGCAGCGUGGAUGCGGUGCUUCUCGCGAAUGAGGUCCUCCAGACGCGGGAAGCGCGCGGUGUGCACCUUCCCGCCACCCAGGUGCACCUGCAGGCAGUA